CACGUAGGGCGCAAGCGUUGUCCGGAAUUAUUGGGCGUAAAGAGCUCGUAGGCGGUCUGUUGCGUCUGCUGUGAAAACUCGGGGCUUAACCCCGAGCCUGCAGUGGAUACGGGCAGACUAGAGGUAGGUAGGGGAGAAUGGAAUUCCCGGUGUAGCGGUGAAAUGCGCAGAUAUCGGGAGGAAUACCAGCGGCGAAGGCGGCGCUCUGGGCCGGUACUGACGCUGAGGAGCGAAAGCGUGGGUAGCAAACAGG
rnacentral:rRNA from 1 species